rnacentral:sRNA from 1 species
GUUGGGCGCAGUGGCACACACCUGUAAUCCCAGCAGCUUGGGAAGCUGAGGCAGGAGGAUCACUAGUUCAAAGCCAGCCCCAGCAAAAGCGAGGCGCUAAGCAACUCAGUGAGACCCUGUCUUUA